GAAAUGCGAUAACUAGUGUGAAUAGCAGAAUUCCGUGAAUCAUCGAGUCUUUGAACGCACAUUGCGCCCCCUGGUAUUCCGGGGGGCAUGCCUGUCCGAGCGUCAUUGCUGCCCAUCAAGCACGGCUUGUGUGUUGGGUCAUCGUCCCCUCUCCGGGGGGGACGGGCCCCAAAGGCAGCGGCGGCACCGCGUCCGAUCCUCGAGCGUAUGGGGCUUUGUCACCCGCUCUGUAGGCCCGGCCGGCGCUUGCCGAACGCAAAUCAAUCUUUUUCCAGGUUGACCUCGGAUCAGGUAGGGAUACCCGCUGAACUUAAGC
rnacentral:misc_RNA from 1 species